rnacentral:rRNA from 1 species
GAUGAACGCUGGCGGCGUGCCUAAUACAUGCAAGUCGAGCGAACAGACGAGAAGCUUGCUUCUCUGAUGUUAGCGGCGGACGGGUGAGUAACACGUGGAUAACCUACCUAUAAGACUGGGAUAACUUCGGGAAACCGGAGCUAAUACCGGAUAAUAUUUUGAACCGCAUGGUUCAAAAGUGAAAGACGGUUUUGCUGUCACUUAUAGAUGGAUCCGCGCUGCAUUAGCUAGUUGGUAAGGUAACGGCUUACCAAGGCAACGAUGCAUAGCCGACCUGAGAGGGUGAUCGGCCACACUGGAACUGAGACACGGUCCAGACUCCUACGGGAGGCAGCAGUAGGGAAUCUUCCGCAAUGGGCGAAAGCCUGACGGAGCAACGCCGCGUGAGUGAUGAAGGUCUUCGGAUCGUAAAACUCUGUUAUUAGGGAAGAACAUAUGUGUAAGUAACUGUGCACAUCUUGACGGUACCUAAUCAGAAAGCCACGGCUAACUACGUG